rnacentral:rRNA from 1 species
AUGGCCUCGGCCGCGCCGCCCCUCCUCCCCACCACCGUCCCGGCCGCCGCGCCCGCGACCGUCCUCCCCGCCGCCCCGGACGCCGCCGCCACCUCCAUCGCCUCUCCGGACCCGGCCGCCACGCGCGCCUUCCUGGGCCGCAUCUACGACUCCGCCAAGCGCUCGCUCUCGGGCGCCCGCCCCUGGCCCGAGCUCCUCGACCGCGCCGCGCUCUCGCGCCCGGACUCCCUCUCCGACGCCACCGCCCGCCUCCGCAAGAACCUCGCCUACUUCCGCGUCAACUACGCCGCGCUCCUCGCGCUCUCCCUCGCCGUCUCCCUCCUCGCGCACCCCUUCUCCCUCGCCGCCCUCCUCGCGCUACUCGCCGCCUGGUGCUUCCUCUACCUCCUCCGCCCCGCCGACGCCGUCCCGCUCAACGCCCUCGGCCGCACCUUCUCCGACAGGGAGACGCUCGGGGGCCUCAUCGCCGCCUCCGUCUUCGUCGUCUUCCUCACGUCUGUCGGUGGGAUCAUCUUCUCCGCGCUGGCGCUCGGCGCCGCCGUCGUCUGCGCGCACGGGGCCUUCCGCGUGCCAGAGGACCUGUUCCUCGACGAGGUGCCCGACCAGGGUCUCGUAGGAAACGGCGCCACCCUCAACCUCCUCUCCUUCAUCAACGGCGCUGCUGGAGGAGGAGGACGCGUCUGA